rnacentral:tRNA from 1 species
GCCGCUUUGGCGGAAUUGGUAGACGCACCGCACUCAAAAUGCGGCGACUUCGGUCGUUCCGGUUCGACUCCGGAAAGCGGCA